rnacentral:lncRNA from 1 species
AUUUUUUUUUGCUUUUUUUUUAAAAUUUUGUUCUUUGGGAUAUCACGAAGCAUCCACACCUUUCAAAAAUAUUGCAAAUCGAAAAUAAAUUAGAUAAGUCAAAAAAAUUAUAAUUUAAAUUUUUUGUUUAUCAAUAUACAGGUAAAAUUUUAAUUUAUAUAUCUGAUCCAUACUGCAGAUGGCAAAGGCCCCCGUACCCCCCUUAUCGGUCCGAGCCCUCUAUUUCCAUUACAAAUAUUUAUUUUUUUCAUAAUUAUUUUAUCAAAAUUUGUCGCAUCACAAAUUUUUUGGUUAAUUAAGGGAACAAAAUCGAAUUCAAUAAAUAAAUUUUGAGUCACAUUAAACAUAAAACUAUAUUUCUGCAUUAGAAGAUUAAAAAAACUGAUAAAAUUAAAAGCUAAAUUAAAUCAAUUG